rnacentral:rRNA from 1 species
GGCGAACGGGUGAGUAACACGUGGGCAAUCUGCCCUGCACUCUGAGACAAGCCCAGAUAUAAGGGUCUAAUACCGGAUAUGACCGUCUGCCGCAUGGUGGAUGGUGUAAAGCUCCGGCGGUGCAGGAUGAGCCCGCGGCCUAUCAGCUUGUUGGUGAGGUAGUGGCUCACCAAGGCGACGACGGGUAGCCGGCCUGAGAGGGCGACCGGCCUAACUGGGACUGAGACACGGCCCAGACUAAUCCGGGAGGCAGCAGUGGGGAAUAUUGCACAAUGGGCGAAAGCCUGAUGCAGCGACGCCGCGUGAGGGAUGACGGCCUUCGGGUUGUAAACCUCUUUCAGCAGGGAAGAAGCGAAAGUGACGGUACCUGCAGAAGAAGCGCCGGCUAACUACGUGCCAGCAGCCGCGGUAAUACGUAGGGCGCAAGCGUUGUCCGGAAUUAUUGGGCGUAAAGAGCUCGUAGGCGGCUUGUCACGUCGGUUGUGAAAGCCCGGGGCUUAACCCCGGGUCUGCAGUCGAUACGGGCAGGCUAGAGUUCGGUAGGGGAGAUCGGAAUUCCUGGUGUAGCGGUGAAAUGCGCAGAUAUCAGGAGGAACACCGGUGGCGAAAGGCGGAUCUCUGGGCCGAUACUGACGCUGAGGAGCGAAAGCGUGGGGAGCGAACAGGAUUAGAUACCCUGGUAGUCCACGCCGUAAACGGUGGGCACUAGGUGUGGGCAACAUUCCACGUUGUCCGUGCCGCAGCUAACGCAUUAAGUGCCCCGCCUGGGGAGUACGGCNGCAAGGCUAAAACUCAAAGGAAUUGACGGGGGCCCGCACAAGCGGC